CCAUAACUGGGAAUGUCCAGGGAAUUCCCAGAAUUUGGGCUGGGAUCGGGCACCGGCAAUCCCAGAGCUCUUUCCCAGCAUCGGGAAUGCCGAGAUUUGGGGAUUUGGGGAUUUUGGGAUUUUGGACAGCUCCACCCCAUAUUUCCCCAAAUCCACCCGCAGCCUCGCAGGUUCAGUACUUCAUGGUCCAGAACAGUAUCCCACCAGAAUCCCGGGAGCCGGAAACGGGGGUGACGCUGGACCCCUUUUGUGUCCCCAAGCCACAGGAGCAGCCCAGAAGCAUCUACAGCCUGAUGGAGGCGUGACCCGGGGAGCCCCAGGUGACCCCCAAGUGACCCCAGGACCCCGGACGGGAUCGCCAGGACCCCGGGAAGGAGCGGCCACCAAGGGGUCACUCUGUGAUGUCACCGUGUGAU